UUGGACCUACGGGACGCAGCAGUCGAGAAUCAUUCACAAUGGGGGAAACCCUGAUGGUGCGACGCCGCGUGGGGGAAUGAAGGUCUUCGGAUUGUAUCCCCCUGUCAUGUGGGAGCAAAUUAAAAAGAUAGUACCACAAGAGGAAGAGACGGCUAACUCUGUGCCAGCAGCCGCGGUAAUACAGAGGUCUCAAGCGUUGUUCGGAAUCACUGGGCGUAAAGCGUGCGUAGGCUGUUUCGUAAGUCGUGUGUGAAAGGCGCGGGCUCAACCCGCGCACGGCACAUGAUACUGCGAGACUAGCGGAC
rnacentral:rRNA from 1 species